UUUUUUUUUAGUGAAGAAGUAAAUCAUAUAAAUUGUCAAACAUGGGACAAAGAUCAACAUCCUCCACUAAGAGUGGGAAGUUUCUGAACCCCACAGACCAAGUCCGAAGGGAAGCCCGGAAAAGAGAAUUGAAAAGGAACAAACGACAGCGUAUGAUGGUCCGAGCUGCGGUUUUGAGGAUGAAAGAUCCCAAACAGAUUUUCGGGACAUGGAGAAAUUGGACAAAAUUAAGUUUAACCCAGUGCAACAGCCACAGUUGAGUGAGAAAGUACUGAAAGACAAGCGUAAAAAGCUGCAGGAAACCUUUGAACGAAUUCUACGACUUUAUGAAAAGGAAAACCCAGAUAUUUACAAAGAUUUGAGAAAACUAGAAGUAGAAUAUGAGCAGAAGAGAGCUCAACUGAGCCAGUACUUUGAUGCUGUCAAGAACACUCAGUAUGUGGAUGUAGAGAGCAUCCCUUUGCCAGACACGCAGCAUGUGCCUUCCAACAUCUUGAUCCAGGACAUUCCUCUUCCUGGUGCCCAGCCACCCUCCAUCCGGAAGAAAACCUCAGCAUAUGGGCCUCCAACUCGAGCAGUUUCUAUACUUCCUCUCCUGGGACAUGGUGUUCCACGUUUGCCCCAUAGCAGAAAACCCCCAGGUCCUCCACCCGGCCCACCUCCUCCUCAAGUUCUGCAGAUGCAUGGCUGUAAAGUGGGCUUUACUCUAGAUCUUCCCCCUCGGAGGAGAAAUGAAGACAUGCUGCAUAGUCCAGAACUUGCUCAGCGGGAUGAUGAUGAUGCUGUAUCCAGUACCAGUGAAGAUGACAGCUAUCCUGAGGACAUGGAUCAGGAUAAGCCUGAGGAUCAUGACACUGACAGAUCAGACACUGAAAAUGACAGGGAUGAUUUUGGUCACUGUGAUGACAGUGAGCGCGACAGUGCUGAGGAGAAGUCAGGUCUGAACAUCCGAUUUGCUGCUAUGCCUGGAAAAUCGAAGAAGAAGAAGAGCAUGAAGGAGCUGAGCCCUCUUCAAGUCAUGAUGCUUCGCAUGGUAGGUCAGGAAAUCCCUGAGGAAGGACGGGGAGUGGAGGGAUUUUCAGAGGCGAAUGACGAUGAUGACAAUGACGAGUUUGAUGAUUCUGAAGCAGAAAAGCAAUCCCAAAAGCAGCAUAAAGAAGAUUCCCACUCUGAUGGCACAUCUGCCGCCUUUUCACAGCAGCGGGCUCCUCCUCCACAGUCCGUUCCUCCUUCUCAGAUACGAACACCUCUCAUGCCAGGACCACCACGUCUUGGACCACCACCUGCUCCACCCUUAUGGCCUCUUGGACCAUCUACAGGCCUUCCUCCUGGGCCACCCCCAGCAGUUCCUCCAUUCCUGAGACCACCUGGAAUGCCAGGGAUCCAAGGUCCUUUACCACGGUUUUUACUUCCAGGACUACCACCAGGCCGACCUCCUGGCCCUGCCCCAGGCCUACAUCCAGAUCUUCCCCCUGGGCCACGUCCUCGAGGACCCCUAGCAAGGCUACCUCCUCCUGCACCUCCAGGUAUCCCUCCUCCUCCUCCUGGCAUGAUGCAUUCACACUUGAUACCGCCCCUUGGACCUGCCCCACCUGGCCUUUUCCCACCAGCUCCCUUGCUCAACCCAGAGGUAUUGAGCGCCCCUCCCAGCAGCCAUCCAGAAGAAAGCCACAGUGACUAUCAGUGCCAAGCCCCAGAUCACCAAUCCCAAGGCAGAGGUCACCUGGUUUGUGCCCACUGCACUGAGGAUACGCCGCAAGAAUAGCGAGGCUACUGCCGUUCUCCAAAGAAGGUCAGAGGAUGACUGUUGUGCCUGCUGCCAAAGCAGCCCCCAGAACUGGUUCUUCAGUUUCUGUCUCAGUACAAACUAAGGACGAUGUUUAUGAAGCAUUUAGGAAAGAGAUGGAAGGGCUGCUGUGACAG